GAUGAACGCUGGCGGCGUGCCUAACACAUGCAAGUCGAACGGAGAUUACGGACGGAAGUUUUCGGAUGGAAGCCUGUAAUUCUUAGUGGCGGACGGGUGAGUAACGCGUGGGCAACCUGCCCUAUACAGGGGGAUAGCAGCUGGAAACGGCUGGUAAGACCGCAUAAGUCGGUUAAAUCGCAUGAUUUGAUCGGGAAAUGAGCAAUCAGGUAUAGGAUGGGCCCGCGUCCGAUUAGCCAGUUGGCAGGGUAAAAGCCUACCAAAGCGACGAUCGGUAGCCGGACUGAGAGGUCGGACGGCCACAUUGGGACUGAGACACGGCCCAAACUCCUACGGGAGGCAGCAGUGGGUGAUAUUGCACAAUGGAGGAAACUCUGAUGCAGCGACGCCGCGUGAGUGAAGAAGUAUUUCGGUAUGUAAAGCUCUAUCAGCAGGGAAGAUGAUGACGGUACCUGACUAAGAAGCCCCGGCUAACUACGUG
rnacentral:rRNA from 1 species